CAGUCGCCACGGUAAUACGUAGGUGGCAAGCGUUGUCCGGAAUUAUUGGGCGUAAAGGGCUCGCAGGCGGUUUCUUAAGUCUGAUGUGAAAGCCCCCGGCUCAACCGGGGAGGGUCAUUGGAAACUGGGAAACUUGAGUGCAGAAGAGGAGAGUGGAAUUCCACGUGUAGCGGUGAAAUGCGUAGAGAUGUGGAGGAACACCAGUGGCGAAGGCGACUCUCUGGUCUGUAACUGACGCUGAGGAGCGAAAGCGUGGGGAGCGAACAGGAUUAGAUACCCGUGUAGUCCCUGUCUCUUAUAA
rnacentral:rRNA from 1 species